GACGUAGGGCGCGAGCGUUGUCCGGAUUUAUUGGGCGUAAAGGGCUCGUAGGCGGUCUGUCGCGUCGGGAGUGAAAACCAGGUGCUUAACACCUGGCUUGCUUUCGAUACGGGCAGACUAGAGGUAUUCAGGGGAGAACGGAAUUCCUGGUGUAGCGGUGAAAUGCGCAGAUAUCAGGAGGAACACCGGUGGCGAAGGCGGUUCUCUGGGAAUAUCCUGACGCUGAGGAGCGAAAGUGUGGGGAGCGAACAGG
rnacentral:rRNA from 1 species